rfam:Helianthus annuus linkage group 14, whole genome shotgun sequence.
UUAUGAUGUAGGGAGCUUUCUUCAGCCCACUCAUGGAUGUGAUUAAGGAAAUGAAUUAGCUGCCGACUCAUUCAUUUAACCACUUGGUAGAAAAGGUUUGUUUUAUGCUACUUUGAUUGAAUGAAUGAUGCGGGAGAUAAUUUUCAUCCCUUGCUAAUCUAUGCUUGGACUGAAGGGAGCUCCCUCGUUCUUUUCA